GAUGAACGCUGGCGGCGUGCCUAAUACAUGCAAGUCGAACGCUGGAAAUCUAGCUUGCUAGAUUGAAGGAGUGGCGAACGGGUGAGUAAUACAUAAGCAACCUACCCACGAAGACUGGGAUAAUCUCUGGAAACGGGGACUAAUACCGGAUAGGUAAUCGGAAGGCAUCUUCUGAUUAUUAAAGGUUAAAAACACUGGUGGAUGGGCUUAUGGCGCAUUAGUUAGUUGGUGAGGUAACGGCCCACCAAGACGAUGAUGCGUAGCCGGCCUGAGAGGGUGAACGGCCACAUUGGGACUGAGGCACGGCCCAGACUCCUACGGGAGGCAGCAGUAGGGAAUUUUCGGCAAUGGGGGAAACCCUGACCGAGCAACGCCGCGUGAGUGAUGACGGCCUUCGGGUUGUAAAGCUCUGUUGUAAGGGAAGAACGGUAGAUAGAGAACAUCUAAGUGACGGUACCUUACCAGAAACACGGC
rnacentral:rRNA from 1 species